UACGUAGGGGGCAAGCGUUGUCCGGAUUUAUUGGGCGUAAAGCGCUCGCAGGUGGUUCGUUGCGUCGUGCGUGAAAGACCCCGGCUCAACUGGGGAGGGUCGUGCGAUACGGGCGGACUGGAGGCCAGUAGGGGGAUGCGGAAUUCCCGGUGUAGCGGUGAAAUGCGCAGAUAUCGGGAGGAACACCAAUUGCGAAGGCAGCUCGCUGGGACGUCACUGACGCUGAGACGCGAAAGCGUGGGGAGCAAACAGG
rnacentral:rRNA from 1 species